UACGAAGGGGGCAAGCGUUGUUCGGAAUUACUGGGCGUAAAGGGCGCGUAGGCGGCUUAUCAAGUCAGGCGUGAAAUUCCCGGGCUCAACCUGGGGGCUGCGCUUGAUACUGAUGAGCUUGAAUGCGGGAGAGGAUAGUGGAAUUCCCAGUGUAGAGGUGAAAUUCGUAGAUAUUGGGAAGAACACCGGUGGCGAAGGCGGCUAUCUGGCCCGUAAUUGACGCUGAGGCGCGAAAGCAUGGGGAGCGAACAGG
rnacentral:rRNA from 1 species